UACUUGUUUUAUGGAGUCAAAGUCAAUAGUGGAGGCCUUGAAGAACAAAGGCAUAACUGGUAUAGGAGCAGCAAGGUUUUGUUGGGGUGGAACAAGCAACUUGAUGAAUCACACCUUAAGGUACACAUUAGUUUUUCCUCUUUAGAUUCCAAUUGAGUAUAGCCGAAUGUAAGCUUAUGUGAUGACAUGAUUAUGUACCUUGCUGAAAUCAAUGUUCCCUCUACACUUGCAUGGCUGCUAUAUCCUUUGACAAGCUUAUGCUCUACCUAGCUAGUGUACAGUUUUUUUUUACUUAAUCAGACUCUUAACUAGGCACAUAGUGCAAAAAAAUACUUUUUUUUUGUCUCUUGUCAAACUGGUAUGUGAUCUUGUUUGUUCUAAAACUUAAUUACACAUCUUUUUGUAACCAAUUUAUCUAAGAAAAAUAUGAAAUCAGGACAUUAGUUGUAUACCCGAAAGGAAACAAAGAAGACAAUGGAAGGGGGAUUCGUCUCAAUGUAUAUGGAACUUGACAAGAGCUGCCUCUCAUCCACAUGCACAGAGGUCUUUGCUUAUCUCUCUUUCUUAGUCUUCAACAAGAAAGAGAAAAAUACCUUUCAAUUCAAGAUGUGGAGGUGAAGAGGUUUAAUUUGAUUCAUCGAGAACUGUAUGGGGAGUAUCACAAAUGCUUCGUAUGAUCCAAAACUUUAGUUAUGAAGAAUAGUUAGUUUAUUGUAUGUAAUACAGGGUUAUGUAUGUUUUGUGUAAUGAAUAUUUUUGAUAAUUUAUGCAAUAAAAAGAAAUUAUAUACAAA